rnacentral:rRNA from 1 species
UCCGUAGGCGGAUUGAUAAGUCAGAGGUGAAAUCCCACAGCUUAACUGUGGAACUGCUUUUGAAACUGUUAGUCUUGAGUUAUAUGGAAGUAGAUAGAAUGUGUAGUGUAGCGGUGAAAUGCAUAGAGAUUACACAGAAUACCGAUUGCGAAGGCAGUCUACUACGUAUAUACUGACGCUAAUGGACGAAAGCGUGGGGAGCGAACAGGAUUAGAUACCCUGGUAGUCC